rnacentral:rRNA from 1 species
UCACUGGGCUUAAAGGGUAUGUAGGCGGAAUGGANAGCGUCGUGUGAAAGCCCUCGGCUUAACCGAGGAAUUGCUCGGCGAACUUCCAUUCUUGAGGCAAACAGGGGUGCGCGGAACUCUUGGUGGAGCGGUGGAAUGCGUAGAUAUCAAGAGGAACGCCGGUGGCGAAAGCGGCGCACUAGGUUUGCACUGACGCUGAAGUACGAAAGCGUGGGGAGCGAACGGGAUUAGAUACCCCGGUAGUCCACGCCGUAAACGAUGUGUACUAGGCUGUGGUAGUUCUGACACUUUCACGGCCGAAGCAAAAGCGUUAAGUACACCGCCUGGGGACUACGGUCGCAAGGCUAAAACUCAAAGGAAUUGACGGGGGCUCACACAAGCGGUGGAGCAUGUGGAUUAAUUCGAAGCAACGCGCAGAACCUUACCUGGGUUUGACAUGCAUGUAUGGCUUCCUGGAAACAGGAUAGUCUGCCCUUCGGGGUGAAACUUGCACAGGUGCUGCAUGGCUGUCGUCAGCUCGUGUCGUGAGAUGUUGGGUUAAGUCCCUCAACGAGCGAAACCCCUGCCGUUAGUUGCCAUCGGGUAAUGCCGGGGACUCUAACGGGACUGCCGGUGUCAAACCGGAGGAAGGUGGGGAUGACGUCAAGUCAUCAUGGCCUUUAUGCCCAGGGCUUCACACGUGCUACAAUGGCGACACAAAGCGAAGCGAAACCGCGAGGUCGGGCAAAUCGCAGAAAGGUCGUCCCAGUACGGAUUGCAGGCUGACAGCUCGCCUGCAUGAAGGUGGAAUCGCUAGUAUCGCGCAUCA